rnacentral:misc_RNA from 1 species
GAUGAAGAACGUAGCGAAAUGCGAUACUUGGUGUGAAUUGCAGAAUCCCGUGAACCAUCGAGUCUUUGAACGCAAGUUGCGCCCGAAGCCAUUAGGCCGAGGGCACGCCUGCCUGGGCGUCACACGUCGUUGCCCCCCCAUCUACUCCUUCGGGAUUGCGGGGGGCGGAUGAUGGCCUCUCGUGCGCCUCGUCGCGCGGUUGGCCUAAAUGCCAAGUCCUCGGCGACGCACGCCACGACAAUCGGUGGUUGCGAAACCUCGGUUGCCCGUCGUGUGCGGUCGUCGUGCAUCGAGGGCUCGAAAAAAUUGCCGGGCUCCGGCUCGGCUUUCAACGCGACCCCAGGUCAGGCGGGGUUACCCGCUGAAUUUAAGCAUAUCAAUAAGCGGAGGA